rnacentral:lncRNA from 1 species
UUCAUAUUUUGGACAAAUUCAUUUGGUCCAUUUUAUUAAUGAUGCUUAAGUGUUUAUUAAGAGUAUAUUGCAAGUAUUGUUAUAAAAAAAUACAAUCCAUAAAAAUUGAACAUGAGAAAUCAAAAGUUAACUACAAAUCUUCUUUAAAUCGAAACAACCCAGAAAGAAGAAAAAGAAUAGAAAGAAACAAUUAAAUAUGAACGGAAAAAAAUAUUGACACUUAAAUAUGAACGGAAACAUAUAUUGACAAUUAUAUAUACUAGUAAAUUAAAAUAUGGUACAUUUUGUAAUUUUCAUUAUUAAAACAUAUCGCGAC